CGUGGGUAACCUGCCUUGUACUGGGGGAUAGCAGCUGGAAACGGCUGGUAAUACCGCAUAAGCGCACAAUGUUGCAUGACAUGGUGUGAAAAACUCCGGUGGUAUAAGAUGGACCCGCGUCUGAUUAGCUAGUUGGCGAGAUAACAGCCCACCAAGGCGACGAUCAGUAGCCGACCUGAGAGGGUGACCGGCCACAUUGGGACUGAGACACGGCCCAG
rnacentral:rRNA from 1 species